rnacentral:rRNA from 1 species
UCAUUACAGUGACCCCGGUUUACCACCGGGAUGUUCAUAACCCUUUGUUGUCCGACUCUGUUGCCUCCGGGGCGACCCUGCCUUCGGGCGGGGGCUCCGGGUGGACACUUCAAACUCUUGCGUAACUUUGCAGUCUGAGUAAACUUAAUUAAUAAAUUAAAACUUUUAACAACGGAUCUCUUGGUUCUGGCAUCGAUGAAGAACGCAGCGAAAUGCGAUAAGUAAUGUGAAUUGCAGAAUUCAGUGAAUCAUCGAAUCUUUGAACGCACAUUGCGCCCCCUGGUAUUCCGGGGGGCAUGCCUGUUCGAGCGUCAUUUCACCACUCAAGCCUCGCUUGGUAUUGGGCAACGCGGUCCGCCGCGUGCCUCAAAUCGACCGGCUGGGUCUUCUGUCCCCUAAGCGUUGUGGAAACUAUUCGCUAAAGGGUGCUCGGGAGGCUACGCCGUAAAACAACCCCAUUUCUAAGGUUGACCUCGGAUCAGGUAGGGAUACCCGCUGAACUUAAGCAUAUCAAUAAGCGGAGGA